CCAGUUACAUUUCAUAGAAUGUGAUUGUGGAGCUAGACAAGUUCUUAAGUUUAAGGAAGUGAUGUGCAUAUGAUGAUCUCUUCUUCACUAAAAUCCAAAGCCAUUGGUGGCUAAGAUGCUGCAAAGAAUGGCCCAACAAGUUUGUUGUAUGUUAAAAGAUAGGAUGCCAAAGGUAGAAAUAUUUUCCCAUUGAGACUAUCCUUGUGUCCACAUUAUCCAAAAAUGCAGCUGGAGAACAAGGCCUUCAGAACCCAGACAUGACGCCACCUUAACAGAGUCUUGCAAAGGCCUCGUGUAAGCCCUUUAGCCACCUUACCAUAUGGCCCUGUUUGAUCUUUCUCAUGCUGUUAACCCUAGCGAGCUCGGGUCGUGGAUCGGCAUGGUUUGGAUAUGCCAUGUUCAGUGCCACAAGUGGGUGAAAUUUUGAUAUGCUGAAUCAAUAGUUUUGUGGCUUGUGUUUAUUCAACUGUGAGAAUCAUAUCAUCUAUUGAGAGAUGUGAGAGAUAUAGCUUUUGGGGGAGAACAUGGGCGGCUAACAUCGUUGUUACAGUGCAUGUGGGCUUCCUAGAUUUUUGAGUGGAAAGGGCUGGAAUUAAUAGUUCAUCCAAGUACGGUAUCAGUCAGUUUCUACCCCUCAUGGAUCCCAUUGCUGACAUGGCACGUGUGGAGAAUUCGUCCAUCUGGCUCUUCCUUACUUGGAUGGCUGUUGACAUGGAUUUGUUUGUAAUGGUUGCUUGUCAUACAUUUGGAAUCUGGAAAGUGCUUAUGCCUGCACUAAGAGUCGACACAUUAAUGGUCAAUGAUAUGUAGUUGAUGUUAGUAAUAUCAAAACUUAAUUUGUAUGAGCCA